GAUGAACGCUGGCGGCGUGCCUAAUACAUGCAAGUCGAGCGAACGGACGAGAAGCUUGCUUUUCUGAUGUUAGCGGCGGACGGGUGAGUAACACGUGGAUAACCUACCUAUAAGACUGGGAUAACUUCGGGAAACCGGAGCUAAUACCGGAUAAUAUUUUGAACCGCAUGGUUCAAAAGUGAAAGACGGUCUUGCUGUCACUUAUAGAUGGAUCCGCGCUGCAUUAGCUAGUUGUUAAGGUAACGGCUUACCAAGGCAACGAUGCAUAGCCGACCUGAGAGGGUGAUCGGCCACACUGGAACUGAGCCACGGUCAAGACUCCUACGGGAGGCAGCAGUAGGGAAUCUUACGCAAUGGGCGAAAGCCUGACGGAGCAACGCGGCGUGAGUGAUGAAGGUCUUCGGAUCGUAAAACUCUGUUAUUAGGGAAGAACAUAUGUGUAAGUAACUGUGCACAUCUUGACGGUACCUAAUCAGAAAGCCACGGCUAACUACGUG
rnacentral:rRNA from 1 species